rnacentral:pre_miRNA from 1 species
AUUCUACUCCCUCUGUUGCACAAUACAUGCCUUCUAUUUGUCAAAAUAUAUAUGUAUCUAGACAUGUUUUAGUAUAUAGGUACAUCCAUUUUUCGACAAAUGGAAGUCAAGUAUUUUGGAACGGAGGGAGUACACA